GUGAGGAAUUUUCCGCAAUGGGCGAAAGCCUGACGGAGCAAUGCCGCGUGAAGGAUGAAGGCCUAUGGGUUGUAAACUUCUUUUCUUAGAGAGGAAUAUUGACGGUAUCUGAGGAAUAAGCAUCGGCUAACUCUGUGCCAGCAGCCGCGGUAAGACAGAGGAUGCAAGCGUUAUCCGGAAUGAUUGGGCGUAAAGCGUCUGUAGGUGGCUUCAAAAGUCUCCUGUCAAAGAUCAGGGCUUAACCCUGGGCCGGCAGGAGAAACUCUGAGGCUAGAGUUUGGUAGGGGCAGAGGGAAUUCCCGGUGGAGCGGUGAAAUGCGUAGAGAUCGGGAGGAACACCAAAGGCGAAAGCACUCUGCUGGGCCACAACUGACACUGAGAGACGAAAGCGAGGGGAGCAAAAGGGAUUAGAAACCCCGGUGUCC
rnacentral:rRNA from 1 species